rnacentral:miRNA from 1 species
UUGUGACCGUUGUUACGGGCA